GUAAGGAAUAUUGGUCAAUGGGCGCAAGCCUGAACCAGCCAUGCCGCGUGCAGGAAGACGGCCCUAUGGGUUGUAAACUGCUUUUAUCAGGGAAUAAACCCCCGCUCGUGAGCGGGGCUGAAGGUACCUGAAGAAUAAGCAUCGGCUAACUCCGUGCCAGCAGCCGCGGUAAUACGGAGGAUGCAAGCGUUAUCCGGAUUCAUUGGGUUUAAAGGGUGCGCAGGCGGAUUGGUAAGUCAGGGGUGAAAUCCCACAGCUCAACUGUGGAACUGCCUUUGAUACUGUCAGUCUAGAGUAUAGUUGAAGUUGGCGGAAUGUGUCAUGUAGCGGUGAAAUGCUUAGAUAUGACACAGAACACCGAUCGCGAAGGCAGCUAGCUAAGCUAUAACUGACGCUCAUGCACGAAAGCGUGGGGAUCAAACAGGAUUAGAUACCCUAGUAGUCC
rnacentral:rRNA from 1 species